rnacentral:lncRNA from 1 species
GAACAGUAAGAGGACCUUGUGCAUGAAUAAUUUGUUUCCACACUACAGAAAGAAUCCCAGACUUCUUAGAGAACCCAGUGACUUUUUGCACCUUAAAUCUGUGAAAUCCUCAUGUUUUCUUCUGCCGUAUCCAUAGUUCAAACAAAGAUGAGGCAAAGCUAGAUGCAUUCCUGAAGGAACCCAAGAAAUUCCUCUCUUUAUUUCUCUGGAAUGAAAUGAAUUCUCUAGACCACCAGUUCUAACCUUCAAAAACCAAACCUGUUUGUGAGAUCUCCUUCAAAUACUACUGUAGACCCCAGUGUUUAUUCAUUAAAUUUUUAAAAUAUUUGUUUUA